AGAUCUCCAGAGCUAUCCUGCCGCCAUCCCAGAGUGCCCCGUAUAAUGCUCAUGCUUGGAACCCUAUGUCCAAGUUGUAAGGAAGCCCAAGCAGCCCAUAAAGAGGCCCACGUUAAGAAGAACCAGGACCCACAGUCUAAGUGAACUCUCAGCUAAUAGCACCAUUUUGCCAACCAUGAGUCAAACUGGCAGCUUCAAGGACCUUGGCUGAAAUUGGUCCAUUUGGAUAUGUGUGCUUGUUUCUGCAAUGUCCUGAAUGACUGUGGGAAAGGGCUUCACAAGGCUUCAUAAGACACCUGGAUCUCAUAUCUGCUUCUGCAUUCAAUCUGUUGCACCAAGUUGUUUUGACUGAAGGGUAUGAAGAAAAACUGGCCUCAUCCAAAUAUGCGGUUGGAAAAGGGUGGAGUAUUUUAACAGCCCUUCAAAUAAUUGGUCCCAGUGAUCAAGCUUUGUCUCCAGCAUCAUUUUACCCUUUAUUCUUGGAAGGGACACUGGAGGCGACUGAUUCCAACCCCUCGACUUGAAAGUUGAAAGAUGCAAAGCACAGAGCAGGGGAUGACAUGCUCAAGGCCCCAUCACCAGUCGGAGGCAGACCUGCAUAGAACUUGGGACAUAAAUGUAGGCACACACAAAACCCAGAGACAUUCCACCGACAUUUAAAAUCAAGAAUCCUCCCUGAUAUAGUAUGACCUUGUAAAUGAUGCAAAGGGUUUGAACAAUUCAAAACAAACAAACAAACAAAAAAACAGGUCUAGGAUAAGUUUUUUCAAAAUCAUCAAAUAUAAAUUUCAACCCAAUUUUUUAAUUUCAUAAAACCAAGGUUAAAAGAGGUUGAGUGAUUAGUUAAAAGUUAUGGGCAAGUGAUGGUAACGUCAAGCCUCUAAUUCAUAUAUUUGCCAAGCUCUAGCUUUGAAUGAUAUUGUAACUCGAAAGGAAUAAUGUUGUUCUUUUUAGAAAAUAACAUGGUCAUGGUAGACCACUUGGAAAAAUAUACAUAAACAUAAGGACAAAGUGACCCAUACAUUAAAGAUAAUCACUGUUAAUAUUUUUAUUAAAUGAAAAGCAUUACAUGUAACUUUACCUAAGUUUAUCAGAAAAAAAGAAUUAAAGAGGGUCGGUAUGGUGGUUCACGCCUAUAAUCCCAGCACUCUGGGAGGCCAAGGUGAGAAGAUCACUUGAGCCCAGGAGUUUGAGACCAGCCUAAGCAACAUAGGAAGACCCCAUCUCUGCAAAACAAACAAACGAAAACGAGGUGGGCAUAGUGGCAUGCACUGGUGGUCCCAACUACUUGGGAGCCUGAGGUGGGAGGAUCAUUUGAGCCUGGGAAGUUGAGGCUGAAAUGAACCAUGAUCAUGCCAGCCUGGGGAACAGAGUGAGACCUUGUGUAAAAUAAAAUAAAAUAAGAAAUGUAAGAAAUAUGAGAAAUUGCUGACUUUCAGAAAAAGAUUUCUUUAAAACAAGAAAUAUUCAUUUCCUGAAGGAGUCUUCUAUACUUUAAAUACAAAUCUCAAGAAAAAUAAAUUUAUGUUUCUAGAUGUAAAAUCUGUCAUCUGUCUUAAGAAAAUCAGAAGAUGUUAUAAUACCGAUAUCUAAAUAAAAUUUUAAGACUUCUAUUUUCUAAUUUAAAAACAACCUGAGCCUACUUAAGAAUAAAAUCAUGGAAAAAGGCAAAUUUAUAAAAUAUUAUAUAAAAGUAACAAAAGCAGUGGUAGAAAAAAAAAUAGCCACAUAGAGAAGUAACUGUAAUGGUCAUAUAUGCAAUAAACAAAAAAUAAAUUUACAAGAACAGUUAGUGACUCUCUUAAUUCCAACUCUAAGUUUCUUGACCUGUGGGAGUUUGGAUUUGCUGUUUCAGAAAACACCAUUUUAUUCACUUCAUUAACGGCACAAAUUUUUACUCGCUUCAUUAAACAAUCAUGUCUGUCUCAUUUUUUUCCUCCUAAAAUUCCUAAAUGCAUUUCUACUGGUGUUGAAGAGAGCAGACAUAAGCCAUUAUCUCAUUGGUAACUCCACAAAAUUGAACUUCCAGGUUCCUAAUUCUAUCAUUUGUGUUAUUAUAGCAAAUGUGUUCUUUAAUAAAGUCAUUCAUCAUAGAACCCUCUGAGUUGGUGUCUCACUUUCAAUGGAUCGGGUUUUUCACCUGCUGUAUAAUGGUCAUAACUGGAUUUCUCUUCAUCUAAAUCUGGGGUUAUUUCAGCUGUUUCAUGUAUCUCAUAUCUUCC
rnacentral:lncRNA from 1 species